ACCUGUCCAUCCUUUCCCCUCUUCCUCUCCCUCCCUCUCCUCCCUCUAAUUGAUCCCUUUCCUUGCACCCCAUUGAUCCCUUCCACUCGAUGGAACGAUGAUUUGAAAGAAGAGUACCCUAUAAGCCAAUCGCAAGUGUGCUGCGAUGAAACUUUUGUUUAUAAUUUUUUAACUCAUGAAAUGAUAUUUAUUAUUUGAGGUAUUGAUUCAUCAUAUUAGCUGCAUCUUAUUAUGUUUAAGAUUAUGAUGAACCCCAAAGAUUAGGACAAUGAUUUUAGGAGAUAUGAAUGGAUCAUGCUAGUGAGAUCUAAAUUCUAAAAUCCUAAUCUUAAACA
rnacentral:lncRNA from 1 species